UGCGGCGUGCUUAACACAUGCAAGUCGAACGGAAAGGCCCUGCUUUUGUGGGGUGCUCGAGUGGCGAACGGGUGAGUAACACGUGAGUAACCUGCCCUUGACUUUGGGAUAACUUCAGGAAACUGGGGCUAAUACCGGAUAGGAGCUCCUGCUGCAUGGUGGGGGUUGGAAAGUUUCGGCGGUUGGGGGUGGACUCGCGGCUUAUCAGCUUGUUGGUGGGGUAGUGGCUUACCAAGGCUUUGACGGGUAGCCGGCCUGAGAGGGUGACCGGCCACAUUGGGACUGAGAUACGGCCCAGACUCCUACGGGAGGCAGCAGUGGGGAAUAUUGCACAAUGGGCGGAAGCCUGAUGCAGCAACGCCGCGUGCGGGAUGACGGCCUUCGGGUUGUAAACCGCUUUCGCCUGUGACGAAGCGUGAGUGACGGUAAUGGGUAAAGAAGCACCGGCUAACUACGUGCCAGCAGCCGCGGUGAUACGUAGGGUGCGAGCGUUGUCCGGAUUUAUUGGGCGUAAAGGGCUCGUAGGUGGUUGAUCGCGUCGGAAGUGUAAUCUUGGGGCUUAACCCUGAGCGUGCUUUCGAUACGGGUUGACUUGAGGAAGGUAGGGGAGAAUGGAAUUCCUGGUGGAGCGGUGGAAUGCGCAGAUAUCAGGAGGAACACCAGUGGCGAAGGCGGUUCUCUGGGCCUUUCCUGACGCUGAGGGGCGAAAGCGUGGGGAGCGAACAGGCUUAGAUACCCUGGUAGUCCACGCUGUAAACGGUGGGUACUAGGUGUGGGGUCCAUUCCACGGGUUCCGUGCCGUAGCUAACGCUUUAAGUACCCCGCCUGGGGAGUACGGCCGCAAGGCUAAAACUCAAAGGAAUUGACGGGGCCCCGCACAAGCGGCGGAGCAUGCGGAUUAAUUCGAUGCAACGCGUAGAACCUUACCUGGGUUUGACAUGGAUCGGGAGUGCUCAGAGAUGGGUGUGCCUCUUUUGGGGUCGGUUCACAGGUGGUGCAUGCCUGUCGUCAGCUCGUGUCGUGAGAUGUUGGGUUAAGUCCCGCAACGAGCGCAACCCUUGUUCACUGUUGCCAGCACGUUAUGGUGGGGACUCAGUGGAGACCGCCGGGGUCAACUCGGAGGAAGGUGGGGAUGACGUCAAGUCCUCAUGCCCCUUAUGUCCAGGGCUUCACGCAUGCUACAAUGGCUGGUACAGAGAGUGGCGAGCCUGUGAGGGUGAGCGAAUCUCGGAAAGCCGGUCUCAGUUCGGAUUGGGGUCUGCAACUCGACCUCAUGAAGUCGGAGUCGCUAGUAAUCGCAGAUCAGCAACGCUGCGGUGAAUACGUUCCCGGGGCUUGUACACACCGCCCGUCAAGUCAUGAAAGUUGGUAACACCCGAAGCCGGUGGCCUAACCGUUGUGGGGGAGCCGUCGAAGGUGGGACUGGUGAUUAGGACUAA
rnacentral:rRNA from 1 species